UUUAUGUAGGUUUCAUUGGUUCCUCAUGGUGAUUUGUCCUGCUAAUAACACAAUCUUUCACCUUGAUUCAGCUCGAUCAACAAAGAAGUACCUCGUGAUAAGAUACAUGGUCGUGCUCCACGGGGUCCUACAUGGAAAUCACCUAUGGUAAUGCCACAUCAUAUUGUGAUUAUCUUAAUAAACAUUGCUAAAACAAUUGUGGAUUUUAUGUGACGUUUGAUUCAUUUGAUUUGUUCCUAUGCUAGUGCCCACAAAAAGAUAAUGGAGUUGAUUGUGGAUUAUACGUGAUGAGAUUCAUGCUUGACAUAGCGACUCAUUGUACCAACACCAUACAUCUUGAUGAGUUUUGCAAGGUGCAAAAGGGAGAU